GGAUCGGGAGGAUUUAUUGCACUAUUGUACUACUUGUUGCGCCCUUCCUGCUUCACCAACUUCAUCACUUUUUAGCUUCAUGAGUCACCACACCUCGGCCGUCCUGUCCGACGACAUUCUACCGGCAAAUGUACAGCUCUGUUUAAAAGGUUUGGACACAAACCGUGUUUGAGAAAGCCAACUUUUGACUGAGAGCUCAACCUGAAGCGAACCUGUCGACGACUAACAGCUGCCUACGCAGACCACACCCCGCCA